GCUUGGAUAGCUCCAUUGGUUAGAGCGUGGUGCUGAUAAUGCCAAGGUUAGAGGUUCAAUCCCCAUAUGGGACA